CUUUGUUUUUUUUUUUGGGACCUCAUGACACCAAAAAACUUUCAUCACAACCAGUAACCGUGUCAAAUCCACACAUCACUUACCAACCAACAACCAGCAACAUGUCCGGCGUAGUCAAUCCCUGCCACAGCUGUGGUUUCCCUUACACCACCCCUGGCGCGCCGUGCCCUCAAUGCCAGAAGGUAGGCAAAAAGAAGAUGACCUUCCUUCCUUCGUUCCUUCCUUCCUUCUUUCCUUUGCUUGCAUCUCUCUCUCUCGCCUUUUCGGGGAAUCACAAGAUACCAAACAAACGCAGUAACUAACCAUUCCCUCCCAAUUACAGUGAAGCAGAUGAGGAUCGACUCUAGGAGAGGACGGAAACGGGGAGAGUGUGGUGAUUGAUGUUGAAUAAACCCAUCUCCACCUCAGGUACCCACCCAAGGUACAAGACAUCGAUACAGUACAUGGCAGGAUUGAGGUGAAUGAUUUGCCUUGAAAGGGGGGCAUUAUCGACAAGAUAAGGUACCUUCAAGAUGUUCCGGGAUUUUUCUGUGUAACGGAAUGAAUGGAAGGGUGCCGGGUAGGUGGGUGGGUGGUUGGUCCAGUUGGUUCGUUAGGACCUCUCGUCUUCUGGUCUUGUACUGUACCUAGACAAGAAAUUUGCAAGAGAGUUCACGCCGUCA